rnacentral:rRNA from 1 species
UACGGAGGGUGCAAGCGUUGAUCGGAAUUACUGGGCGUAAAGCGCACGCAGGCGGCUGUGCGAGUCGAUUGUGAAAGCCCUGGGCUUAACCUGGGAAUUGCAGUCGAUACUACUCAGCUAGAGUAUGGGAGAGGGUAGUGGAAUUCCCGGUGUAGCGGUGAAAUGCGUAGAUAUCGGGAGGAACAUCAGUGGCGAAGGCGGCUACCUGGCCCAAUACUGACACUCAGGUGCGACAGCGUGGGGAGCAAACAGG